GCCCCUGUAGCGUAGUGGAUAACGCGUUGGACUUCUAAUCCAAAGGUCGUGGGUUCGAUCCCCACCAGGGGUG